rnacentral:rRNA from 1 species
GGAAGUGAACCAUCUCAGUACCCGGAGGAACAGAAAGCAAUCGCGAUUCCCCCAGUAGCGGCGAGCGAAGAGGGAACAGCUCAAACCGUCGAUAUGUCAAGCCCGUGGGCGUUGUAUCGGCGGGGUUGCAGGGCCGGACGCGGCGUCGUCACGGAGACGCCAGGGAGUGAGAAACCGAUCUCCUAGCCGAACGACCUGGAACGGUCGGCGAUACAGGGUGCAAGCCCCGUAGGCGAAAGGAGAGAGGCUCCCUCGUUCGGUCCCUGAGUACCGCGGGACACGUGGAACCCUGCGGGAAGCCGGGAGGACCAUCUCCCAAAGCUAAAUACGUGCCUGCGACCGAUAGUGAACCAGUACCGUGAGGGAAAGGUGAAAAGAACCCCUGUGAGGGGAGUGAAAGAGUACCUGAAACCGUAUGCCUACAAGCAGUGGGAGGGCGUUUGCCGCGGGGGUAACCUCGCGGUGUUGCCUGACCGCGUGCCUUUUGCAUAAUGAGCCGGCUAGUU